rnacentral:rRNA from 1 species
GUCUACAGCCAUGCUACCCUAAACAAGCCCGAUCUCAGAAGCAGGGUCAGGCCUGGUUAGUACUUGGAUGGGAGACCACCUAGGAAGACCAGGUGCUGUAGGUG